rnacentral:rRNA from 1 species
UACGUAGGGGGCAAGCGUUGUCCGGAUUUAUUGGGCGUAAAGAGCGUGUAGGCGGCUAGGUAGGUCCGUUGUGAAAACUCGAGGCUUAACCUCGAGCUGUCGGCGGAAACCAUCUGGCUAGAGUCCGGAAGAGGAGAAUGGAAUUCCCGGUGUAGCGGUGAAAUGCGCAGAUAUCGGGAAGAACACCCGUGGCGAAGGCGGCAUCCUGGACCAUUACUGACACUGAAAAGCGAAAGCCAGGGGAGCAAACGGG